UACGUAGGGUGCGAGCGUUAAUCGGAAUUACUGGGCGUAAAGCGUGCGCAGGCGGUUGUGCAAGUCAGAUGUGAAAUCCCCGGGCUUAACCUGGGAAUUGCAUUUGUGACUGCACGGCUAGAGUGUGUCAGAGGGGGGUAGAAUUCCACGUGUAGCAGUGAAAUGCGUAGAUAUGUGGAGGAAUACCGAUGGCGAAGGCAGCCCCCUGGGAUAACACUGACGCUCAUGCACGAAAGCGUGGGGAGCAAACAGG
rnacentral:rRNA from 1 species